AAUAGGUUAGGAAAAUAUUUUUGUAUUUUUUGAAUAUUAAAAACUAUUUAAAAUGAACUAAAAAUAACCAGAAAAGAGAAAAUUCACAAAAAAUAUCAAAUGACGAAAUAAAAAAAAUUAAAAAUUAGAAAUAGAAACUAGAAUUUAUUUGGGAAAUAAUGCAAUUGGUCCCAUAUUUUUUGGAUAAAAAAUGAAAGAGAUAUU
rnacentral:lncRNA from 1 species